UACAGAGGUCUCGAGCGUUAGGCGGAAUCACUGGGCUUAAAGCGUGUGUAGGCGGGUCGGUAAGUACCUUGUGAAAUCCCAUGGCUCAACCAUGGAACUGCUUGGUAUACUGGCGAUCUUGUGCAACCUAGGGGCGAGCGGAACAGAUGGUGGAGCGGUGAAAUGCGCAGAUAUCAGGAGGAACACCAAUAGCGAAGGCAGCUCGCUGGGACGUUACUGACACUGAGGCGCGAAAGCGUGGGGAGCGAACAGG
rnacentral:rRNA from 1 species